rnacentral:rRNA from 1 species
UUGACCUCGGAUCAGGUAGGGAUACCCGCUGAACUUAAGCAUAUCAAUAAGCGGAGGAAAAGAAACCAACCGGGAUUGCCUCAGUAACGGCGAGUGAAGCGGCAAGAGCUCAAAUUUGAAAUCUGGCCCCUCCGGGGUCCGAGUUGUAAUUUGCAGAGGAUGCUUCGGGUGCGGCCCCUGUCUAAGUGCCCUGGAACGGGCCGUCAGAGAGGGUGAGAAUCCCGUCUUGGGCAGAGUGCCCGUGCCCGUGUGAAGCUCCUUCGACGAGUCGAGUUGUUUGGGAAUGCAGCUCAAAAUGGGUGGUAAAUUUCAUCUAAAGCUAAAUACCGGCCGGAGACCGAUAGCGCACAAGUAGAGUGAUCGAAAGAUGAAAAGCACUUUGAAAAGAGAGUUAAACAGCACGUGAAAUUGUUGAAAGGGAAGCGCUUGCAACCAGACUCGGCCUCGGGGUUCAGCCAGCAUUCGUGCUGGUGUACUUCCCCGGGGCCGGGCCAGCGUCGGUUUGGGCGGCCGGUCAAAGGCCCCAGGAAUGUAUCGUCCUCCGGGACGUCUUAUAGCCUGGGGUGCAAUGCGGCCAGCCUGGACCGAGGAACGCGCUUCGGCACGGACGCUGGCGUAAUGGUCGCAAACGACC